rnacentral:rRNA from 1 species
GUACGUAGGGAGCAAGCGUUGUCCGGAAUCAUUGGGCGUAAAGCGCGCGUAGGUGGCUUCGUAAGUCCGCUGUGAAAGUCAAAGGCUCAACCUUUGAAAGCCGGUGGAUACUGUGAAGCUAGAGUACGGAAGAGGCGAGUGGAAUUCCUGGUGUAGCGGUGGAAUGCGCAGAUAUCAGGAGGAACACCAAUAGCGAAGGCAGCUCGCUGGGACGUUACUGACACUGAGGCGCGAAAGCGUGGGGAGCGAACAGG